UGGUGGAGCGAUUUGUCUGGUCAAUUCCGAUAACGAACGAGACUCUAGCCUACUAAAUAGUUCGGGGACCCCCACAAAGGGGCCCCGCUUCAACUUCUUAGAGGGACGAGGUGGUCGUUUAGCCACACGAGAUUGAGCAAUAACA
rnacentral:rRNA from 1 species